rnacentral:rRNA from 1 species
GAUGAACGCUGGCGGCGUGCCUAAUACAUGCAAGUCGAGCGAACAGAUGAGGAGCUUGCUCCUCUGACGUUAGCGGCGGACGGGUGAGUAACACGUGGAUAACCUACCUAUAAAACUGGGAUAACUUCGGGAAACCGGAGCUAAUACCGGAUAAUAUAUUGAACCGCAUGGUUCAAUAGUGAAAGACGGUUUUGCUGUCACUUAUAGAUGGAUCCGCGCCGCAUUAGCUAGUUGGUAAGGUAACGGCUUACCAAGGCAACGAUGCGUAGCCGACCUGAGAGGGUGAUCGGCCACACUGGGACUGAGACACGGUCCAGACUCCUACGGGAGGCAGCAGUAGGGAAUCUUCCGCAAUGGGCGAAAGCCUGACGGAGCAACGCCGCGUGAGUGAUGAAGGUCUUCGGAUCGUAAAACUCUGUUAUUAGGGAAGAACAAAUGUGUAAGUAACUAUGCACGUCUUGACGGUACCUAAUCAGAAAGCCACGGCUAACUACGUG